GACGGAGGGGGCUAGCGUUGUUCGGAAUUACUGGGCGUAAAGCGCGUGUAGGCUGCUCUGCAAGUCGGAUGUGAAAGCCCUGGGCUCAACCUAGGAAGUGCAUUCGAAACUGCGGAGCUGGAGUUCUGGAGAGGAAGGCGGAAUUCUCGGUGUAGAGGUGAAAUUCGUAGAUAUCGAGAGGAACACCGGUGGCGAAGGCGGCCUUCUGGACAGUGACUGACGCUGAGACGCGAAAGCGUGGGGAGCAAACAGG
rnacentral:rRNA from 1 species